GAUGAACGCUGGCGGCGUGCCUAACACAUGCAAGUCGAGCGAUUCUCUUCGGAGAAGAGCGGCGGACGGGUGAGUAACGCGUGGGUAACCUGCCCUGUACACACGGAUAACAUACCGAAAGGUAUGCUAAUACGAGAUAAUAUACUUUUAUCGCAUGGUAGAAGUAUCAAAGCUUUUGCGGUACAGGAUGGACCCGCGUCUGAUUAGCUAGUUGGUAAGGUAACGGCUUACCAAGGCGACGAUCAGUAGCCGACCUGAGAGGGUGAUCGGCCACAUUGGAACCGAGACACGGUCCAAACUCCUACGGGAGGCAGCAGUGGGGAAUAUUGCACAAUGGGCGAAAGCCUGAUGCAGCAACGCCGCGUGGGCGAUGAAGGCCUUCGGGUCGUAAAGCUCUGUCCUCAAGGAAGAUAAUGACGGUACUUGAGGAGGAAGCCCCGGCUAACUACGUGCCAGCCGCCGCGGUAA
rnacentral:rRNA from 1 species